rnacentral:rRNA from 1 species
GUAGGUGGCAAGCGUUGUCCGGAAUUAUUGGGCGUAAAGCGCGCGCAGGCGGUCCUUUAAGUCUGAUGUGAAAGCCCACGGCUCAACCGUGGAGGGUCAUUGGAAACUGGGGGACUUGAGUACAGAAGAGGAAAGCGGAAUUCCACGUGUAGCGGUGAAAUGCGUAGAGAUGUGGAGGAACACCAGUGGCGAAGGCGGCUUUCUGGUCUGUAACUGACGCUGAGGCGCGAAAGCGUGGGGAGCAAACAGGGAUUAGAUACCCUGGUAGUCCACGCCGUAAACGAUGAGUGCUAAGUGUUAGGGGGUUUCCCGCCCCCUUAGUGCUGCAGCUAACGCAUUAAGCACUCCGCCGUGGGGAGUACGGCCCGCAAGGCUG